CGCCUCUGCCUCCAACUCUGAACCCAGGUUCCUAGGCGACCCCUUCAUCAAGCCUCUGAGGAUCAUCCACCUGCCUGUCCACCCUCCCAUGGCUUUUCCCAAUCACAGUGGAGAAUACCGGAAAAGAGAAACACAGAAUCAUAGAAGCGAGGAAAGAAUUCAGCCUCAGCCAACGUGGGUAAAGACUGAUCCCUCCCCAGCCUCAUGACAAACUCUUCUUCAUAUGAUCCCAAUUCUGCCUGCUGAUCCACUCCUGGUUCCUGUCCGAUCUAGACCAGUAAAACUUAAUAAACUGUCUUGGUCCUCAUGGUUGUGUAAACUCAGAUUCUGAGAAAAACUCACAAUGACAGCAUCAUUUGAUGAAAAUGAAAUCUAUCAACCCACAGAAGGCUUCAUCUGAAGAGAAAUUUAAUCUGAACUGAUCCAGCAGGCUGGUCCAAUCUGCUGAAAUGUCAUCCCAGCAACUCAACAUGGUCCCCAGCAGUUUGGUUGGUGCCCAGAUGUUUGUAUCCAUGCCUGACAACAUCAGAGCAUGCUCCUCAUGAGAUGAUGGAUGGUGUCCUGGAGUAUCUCCUCCCAGAUCCUCACCAGGUGGUGUCAUAUGUACCUAAACAUGAUGUCCCAAAGAUGUUCUACAGGUCUGUGUCCCUCCAUGGAAAUCAGUGUUGUAAUAAGUGACAUUGGACUUGUUUUUCUCUUAAGGGUCGGGUUGCGGUCUUUUGGACUUCUUUCUGAAGGUGAAGUUGCUUAUUUGGGCUUGGCUUUCUUUCUGUGUGAAACCCAUUGAUUAUCUCCAAGCUCCCUGCAGUAAAGCCAAACACGCGUGGUUGGUAGUUUGUCCUUUUCACGCUGCCGUUUCCUGGUCAUCGCGCCCAGCCGAGUCGACAAACACACGAGUCCAGAGUGACGAGGCAGCGUGAGAAUGAGAUGCAGCAAGUGGGGAAAAUAUGGAAGAAACAUAAAAUGUGUCUUUUCUAUUAAACAGAUUUUAAAGAAA